rnacentral:rRNA from 1 species
UAAGGAAUAUUGGUCAAUGGACGCAAGUCUGAACCAGCCAUGCCGCGUGAAGGAUGAAGGUCCUCUGGAUUGUAAACUUCUUUUAUCUGGGACGAAAACGGGAUUUUUAUCUCAAUUGACGGUACCAGAGGAAUAAGCACCGGCUAACUCCGUGCCAGCAGCCGCGGUAAUACGGAGGGUGCGAGCGUUAUCCGGAUUCACUGGGUUUAAAGGGUGCGUAGGCGGAUAGGUAAGUCCGUGGUGAAAUCUCUCGACUUAAUCGGGAAACUGCCAUGGAUACUAUUUAUCUUGAAUGUUGUGGAGGUUAACGGAAUAUGUCAUGUAGCGGUGAAAUGCUUAGAUAUGACAUGGAACACCAAUUGCGAAGGCAGUUAACUACGCAAAUAUUGACGCUGAUGCACGAAAGCGUGGGGAUCAAACA